rnacentral:rRNA from 1 species
CAUGCAGGCGGAUGCUUAAGUCGGACGUGAAAGCUCUCGGCUCAACUGGGAGAGGUCGUUCGAAACUAGGUGUCUUGAGGGUAGUAGAGGAGAGUGGAAUUCCCGGUGUAGUGGUGAAAUGCGUAGAUAUCGGGAGGAACACCAGUGGCGAAGGCGGCUCUCUGGGCUAACCCUGACGCUCAGAUGCGAAAGCUAGGGGAGAGAACG